GUUCAAAGAGUGUGUACAAAAUGCAGAAGCCACCCAUUUCCAAGAAAAACGGCUAUGCUUCAACCAGCCUAAGUCUACUGCAAGCAAGGGCACCCAUAAGAGAUGGACCUUGAGGGAUUCAACCUAACUAACUAGGCCCCCUGCAUGUGAGCUCAUCACAUGGCUGCCCGGCAAGAUACUACAUUUUCCAGUCUUCCAUGAGGAUAGAUGUGGUCACGUGACUGAG
rnacentral:lncRNA from 1 species